UGAGGAAUAUUGGUCAAUGGGCGCAAGCCUGAACCAGCCAUGCCGCGUGAAGGAUGACGGCGCUAUGCGUUGUAAACUUCUUUUAUACAGGAAGAAACACUUCUACGUG
rnacentral:rRNA from 1 species